GGCUCAUAGCUCAGUGGUAGAGCUCAGUGGUCUGCUUUGCAUGCAGAAUGUCCUAGGUUCCAUCCCUGGCAUCUCUG